UACGAAGGGGGCUAGCGUUGCUCGGUUUGACUGGGCGUAAAGGGCGCGUAGGCGGUUCGUACAGUCAGACGUGAAAUUCCUGGGCUCAACCUGGGGGCUGCGUUUGAUACGUGCGGACUUGAGUGCGGAAGAGGGUCGUGGAACUCCCAGUGUAGAGGUGAAAUUCGUAGAUAUUGGGAAGAACACCGGUGGCGAAGGCGGCGACCUGGUCCGAUACUGACGCUGAGGCGCGAAAGCGUGGGGAGCAAACAGG
rnacentral:rRNA from 1 species